GGUGAGAUGGCCGAGUUGGUUAUGGCGCCAGGUUAAGGUCUCCCCUUAGCAACACUGAGCAAUCAGUUUCCUGGUCACGAAAGUGGCGUGGGUUCAAGUCCCACUCUCAUCA
rnacentral:tRNA from 1 species